CUGAAGGAUUUAAGCACAUGCUGCUCUGUAUAGAGCAGAGAUAGCAGCCCGAGGUAUAAUGAGCUGAAUAAGAGCAAGACGGCUUUGUUGGGAUUUUACUGGACAGAAGAGAGGCGGACGCUGCCGAGAAGCACACAGAUCAGUGCAUUUUCACACAUGUCCCCGGGUCACUUCACCACCCAGGUCAGAACGGAGACUUCCGUCCACGCCAGGAGCCACCUGCCCCUGCCCGGGCCACACCACCUCCACCCCUCUGACACUCACACCGCCCCGACUCCGCGGCUGUAGUAGGGACAUUUGUGUGCAGAACCGAUUGUCGAUGUGAGCGACCUGAUGAAUUUGAAGAGAAGAAGGGCCUCAUAAGGACACAACGUCUGCAAGACCGGAAGGGAGUUGUCAUCAGGAACCAACCCCCCCAGCACGUAAUCUUGGAAUUCCAGCCUCCAGAACCCUGAGAGAGAAAUGUCUGUGAUGCUCUUUUACGGCGGCCGAGCUGACUGACAUAGCGCUUUCCAGGUUUCACAUGAUUUCGGCACCAGAAGGCUCACCAGCCUGUCUGCUUCACCAGAGCGCCUCUCUUCAACUUUCAUGACUCCUUUCUCCUGUUUCUUGAUGCUUCAGAGACGGUGCCUCGAGAGCUUAGACUCCCACUGACACUCUCCUCCAGGCUAUUCCUGUUUUCUAGGCUCUUUAAGACUUUACUAAAACUCUUCUCAAGUCCCUUAGAACUUCUACACGCUGCUGUCCCAGAGCCGGUGCCCCUUAGGUCAAGAUUUGUCAUGGCAACAGCCUGCUUCCGGUACUCCCAUCUCUUCUGGUGUCGGGAGCUGCAUAGCACAUCCUCCGGACGUUGCAUGGCAUCCAACAAGAGCAAUGAUUUGUCUCGUUCCUGGAUCUGUGAUUUGUGCAAGCCCAGGAUGUGGUCUGGGGUGAUCUGUGAGGACGCACUCCUAAGAUGGCACCCCAGCAUGGCUGGCAAGGUGUUGUGGGGUGUUGGCUGGGAGCUUGGCUGCGGUGGACGGGCUGAGGGCUGUGGUCACUUUUCUGUGGAUCUCUCCUUGGGUCUUGGACUUUCUCCCUGAAGAGAAGAAGUAGGGAUGACCGUUUCUUGGGAUCUGGAUCUAGAACCUGGCAGUUUCCUUUCUACCGUAGUCAAUGGGUCAGGUUGAUGCAGAGCACAGAUUCAAGGGGGGGGGGACAGACACCCCACAUCUUGAUGGGAGUAGUGUUAGGAAUGGAGGGCUAUGUUUAAAAACUAACCAUAUUUUAAAAAAGCAGAAAAACUUAAGGGGUCACAUUUAUUAAAUUCGAGGGCAUGAUGCCCUCAACAAUAGGGAAAUUAUUUCACAUUUUUAAAAAUAAAAGCCACUUUAAAUCGUAUUAUUCCUUUCAAAGUAAAGAGCAUGCAACAAGAACUUGAAAAUUAAAUCAACUAACCCAUAUACUGAUGGCUUUAUCUCUGAUUCUGUGACAGUGGUCCACCGAAAGAUAUGUAAAUUUUAAAGAUUUCACCCCAGCUAAGGGUCAACUCCAUGAUCUCGUUUCCUCAUCUUUGAAGUAAAAAUGGAAUCAACCCUACAACUUGACCUUACGACCCUUGGACUGUAACUAACUCAUGUUCCUCUGAAGGUUUUAUGUUCCAUCACUUAACCCGUGGAGCUCAAGUUGCAACGUUUUAAAGUAUAUAACCAAUAAUUUAUAA